UACGUAGGGUGCGAGCGUUAAUCGGAAUUACUGGGCGUAAAGCGUGCGCAGGCGGCUUUGCAAGUCGGAUGUGAAAUCCCCGGGCUCAACCUGGGAAUGGCAUUCGGGACUGCAAGGCUGGAGUGCGGCAGAGGAGACUGGAAUUCCUGGUGUAGCAGUGAAAUGCGUAGAUAUCAGGAGGAAUACCGAUGGCGAAGGCAGGUCUCUGGGCUGACACUGACGCUCAUGCACGAAAGCGUGGGGAGCAAACAGG
rnacentral:rRNA from 1 species